CCCAAUUCAAUUCCCAAACUGAAAGAACAUACAGACCCAUAGUCAAAUCUUUUACUGUAUAAGCAAAUUAAUUUUUUUCUUAUAAUAACACUUUAACAAGGAAGGUGAAAUAAACGAAUGCGUAACUCUACUUCUUGGACAUAACAUAAAUUUUGAUUUGAGGUAGGUAGUUCCUCAUAAUACAUGCCACCCUAAUUUUAAUAGCAAUUUGGUUUAGCAAAUUCUUGAGAGCAGAUUGCGUUUCCCGUGCAAAGGAUGCUUAAGUAAUGUGUGCAGCUAGAGAGAUAGUUGCAGCAAUUCAUUAGAUUGGCAGGAGUUAAUGAUCCAAACGAGACACAGAUCAUAGCAAAUUGUCUACAAGUUCAAAACCUUUAAAGCCGAGACAACAGUUUGAGCAAGAGGCAACGAGCUGUUGACUCAUCGCUUUAUUAGGGCAGCAGCAACUCAUUCCAAAAGGAACCUAUUAAUAUUUUCAUAAUUUUUUUUUUACUUACAAUAGUCAUGAAAUGAUAGAGAAUUAGAUUCAUCAACUUGAUGAUAAAUAGACAUCUUUAUCUACUAACAAUUUGGAGGCUUCACAUCUUUGACAUUGUGUAAUCCAUCGCAUCCACAAGGAAAUCUGCAACCACAGCAUUCUCCAAGUGUUAACAAUUGCAGCCCAGUUGGUAAUGGCAUUGUCAUGAUGAAAAGAAAUUUACUGCUUCCUUAAACAUACAUGUAGUUCUGAUAAUUAGCAUAAGAGAGAGAAAAAAUUGAUAUGUACCAGCAUCUUCUUUAGUGAAACAGAGGGGAGGGGUAAUUCUGAACACAUUUCCAUAAAAUCCACCUUUUCCAAUCAAGACUCCCAUUUCUGUGACAAAAAUCAGGGUCUGUUAGAGACUAGAAGAUAGCUUGGUGUAUGUUGGAGUAUGGCUGUUAGGUGGACCAUAGGGUGGGAGAUAUACAAACCUUUAAUCUGGUCCAUUACAUGUAAAGUUUCAGCCUUUGCAGGAGUUUUCUGUUGGCGGUCAGUUACUAGCUCAACUCCAAGCAUCAAUCCUCUUCCCCUCACAUCCCCAAUGACUACAGGAAACCAUUAUAACAUGUUCAGGAAGCUGAAGCAAUUUCAAAUAUUGCCUCCUAUUUCACAAUGCUUCUUAGCAGGAAUUCAAAUAUUAUUUUUAUUUUGUUAUGAAUGCAAAGUAAGUGAAACUUGUGAUAUAUUAAUAAGAGUCCAAUACAUAAAGUCGAGGAUGAGGAAGGUGAUUUACUUUCAUAUUUAUCUUUGAGUUCAAUUAGUCUGUUUUUCAGAUAGGAUCCCACAACUAAUGCAUUUUCCUGAAGAUUUUCUUUCUCAAUCACUUUUAGAACAGCCAGUCCUGCAGCAGUACACACAGGAUUACCCCCAAAUGUGUUGAAGUAACUUCGGCGAGUCAAUACUUCAGCAAUCUCAGGAGUUGUCACCACAGCACCAAGGGGAAUACCAUUUCCAAUACCCUGCUCGUGUCAAUGAAGAAAAAAGAGUAAAAAAAUUUCCAAAUCUAGCAAGUGCUUAGAAAGAACGGGUACUAAAGAUUAUCGGUAUGUUUAUAAUGAGACCUAAGCCAUUGCAGGUAACCAUGGGAAGGAAAAAUGGGAAUAACUAAGACCAGGAUAGAGAUUGAAGAUAUCAUGACCCUGGAAAAUGUUCCUAUGUAGUAAAAAGCUACCUAUGGUACUUUGUCAAAUAAGGAAUUUUCAGAAUACCUCCUAAAUCAAAAAGGUGAAAAGACUAACCUUUGCCAUUGUCACUAUGUCAGGAACAACACCCUGGGCCUCAAAUCCCCAGAAAUGACUUCCAGUACGAGCAAAUCCAGCUUGAACCUCAUCAGCUAUACAAAGGCCUCCUGCUUUUUUAAUGCUUUUAUAAGCAGCAGGCAGGUAACCUGGGGCCAAUUCUACAAUUCCGCCCACUCCCUGUAUAGCUUCAGAUAUAAAUCCAGCAACAUUGCCAGUUGUCCCAAAGUCAAUGAUAUCUUGGACAUCUUUUGCAUACUUCUCUCCAUCUGAGCCAAAUACACCUCUAUAUGGGUCUGGGUUCAAGGCAUGAUGCACUCCACUCUGUAUGACAUUGAAUUUCCAGAUGGACUGUGCAGUGGCACCCAUGGUCCCUGCUGCAUUCCCAUGGUAUGCGUUCCGCAAAGAAAUUAUGUCAUUGCACCCUGUGUAUAGUCUUGCAAUCAUCAUGGCCAACUCAUUCGCUUCUGUGCCAGAAUUUGUGAAAAACACCACCUUAAGAUUGCCGGGCAUCUUGAAGGCUAAUGCCUCGGCGAAAUCAGAGAUGGCAUGGUUAAGGUAGAGGACAGUGGAGUGUUGUAAGCGCUUGAUUUGGUUGACUAUUGACUCUACCACAUCAGGAUGGCAGUGCCCGCAGCAGACUGUAGCAAUUCCUCCAAAAGCAUCGAGGUAUCUACGCCCGUUCUCAUCGAACAAAUACUGCAUCCUCCCAUCCACCACGUUCAGGGGGUUUUUGUAGAAGUGGAACAAUGAGGGGCUAAGAAACUCUUUUCGCUUGGCCAUGAUCUCAUCGGCGGAUGGACCGGUAUACGGCGGAGGAGAGUAAUCAAAAGGAGGUAAUUUGGGGAUAAGAACGUCAUUGUUCUCCUUCUGGGCAAGCUGAGAGAAGUAGCGCGCCGGAGACGGGAGGGAAAUGGAAUUUCUUCCGGAGAAGAGCCUUUUGGCUAUAAAUCUCUGCAUGUUUCAAAAAAUUCUCUCCUCUGAAAUAGAUUCUUUGUAUGCCAGGAAAUGCAGGAUUUAGAGAGAAAGGAGAAGCAGAGCAAUACACAUC
rnacentral:misc_RNA from 1 species